AGAGAUCAACGUGACCCCUGCACCGGCGCCCUGAAGUGACAGAGAACCGUCGAACUGCAUCACCCAGUGGGCGGUUUGAGGCAGCUGUGAGGGGUCCGUG
rnacentral:misc_RNA from 1 species